CCGCCAGCCCCGCGCUCCUCCGGGCAGAGCGCGUGUGGCCGCCGAGCACAUGGGCCCGCGGGCCGGGCGGGCUCGGGGCGGCCGGGACGAGGAGGGGCGGUGAGGAGCUGUGGGCAAGGAUGUGCCCCGGGACCCCCUGCACCUUCCAGUGGAUUUCCUUGCGCAAGGGAUGUGGUCGGCCCCGGUGACCUGUGGAGACCCGGCCAGAUCUGCCCUCCGGCCUGAUCUUUUGGCCAGAAGGAGAUGAAAAAGAUGCCCCUCAAGACGGCUGCGCCUAUCAGCUGCAUGGAGCUUCGGUCAACUAUUAUUUUCUGAGCCUGAUGGAUUUACAGUGAAUAUUCAGUCGUCUAGGGAAUAACCCUGGUGGAACCAUGCACUGGAAUGACACACGCCCGGCACAUUUCAGGAUACUUAAAGUGGUUUUAGGGGUGGCCCUGGCUGAGUGCCUCAUGGAUUCUUAGAGCUUGGAUAUCCACGGGGGACGAGGGAUUGCAGCUGGCUGCGAGGACUAAGAGCUCUGUUUACUUGGGUCUCUGCCAACUUCCUUUGGAUCUCUCUGUGGAACGUAAGACCCCGACUCUCCUGGUGGAGCGUCUCACGCACGUUCUGUCCAGUGCUCAGCUGGGCUUGAGCUGACCACACUCCCUGGGCCUUCUCCCAAGGGCCCGGGCGUCCUUGGCAUAUGCAGUCAUCGUGAUGGCACUUUAAGUGGAGGCUGAAUCAUCUCUCCUUUGAGCUGCACAGCACAUGGCUCCCUAGUGUUCCCAAUUUACCUCCGAGACACUGAGAUUUGGAGAGGUAAAAGUCACGUAACUGCUUGGGCAGGCCUACCUUUUAGGCAGAUGGAGACUCACGCAUUGUGACUUUGAUCUGUAGGUGUGAAGACUUCCAUUUGGGAUGCCAAGCCCCCAUGUCCAUAGUGUGAGAGUCCAGAGGAUGAGACCUCGGAUCACGAAUCCAAUAACCCUCGCCUUUAACUGCCUGUGUGGGAGAUUCAGGGCCAGCAGCUGCCCUUUCCCUGCCUCUGACCUGGCGAAUGAGUUUAGGUCAACAGAAAUUUUGAGAAACACAUUGAAGGAUCUGUUGACACUUGGUAAACCCAGUAAAAGCAGUGGUUGUGCCAGUCCUAAUCUGUCUUGCUGUGAAUGUGAACAACCGGAACCCAAGCUAAGCAGUUAAUGCUAGCGUGACAGAAACUGGAGCUCUCCCAAGACACGUGACACAGUAACGCAGCAGCCAACUUCUUCACCAAAUUAAAGUUUUACAAGAUUUAACCUGUCAUCAAGACCUGGGAUUAUGAUGAUCCUUCUGGCUGCUGUGUUGAAAGUGGGCUGGAAGUGGCAAAGGUGGAAAGACAGGCUGAUUAGGAGGCUAUUGCGGAAAACCAGCAUAUGGCAGUAAUCCUGGCCUGGGGCAUGCAGAGGAGAUGGGAAGACCUGAUCAGAUUCAGAAUGUAUCUCAAAGAAGGACAGAAUAAUGGACUCCCAGAUUACCAAGCCCCACCAAGAGGAUCACCCCAGGAACCCUUGAGGGCUGAGGAGUGCACUGAGGCUAGUGCAUCUGGAGACUCCAGGAUGAAGACGCAGCUUGGGGUUGUCAAAGGUUAAAAAACCAAGUCACAUGGAAGAUAAAUAACAUGCUCAACAUCGCCCAGCCAGAAGUGGCGGAGACGUGACUAAACUCACAGGGGACAACUCCCGAGUCUUUGCUAGGAACAGCCAGUGAAGAUCCUCACAGAAAGAGGAAGAAGUAGAUGAAUUCAUGACAAAUUAAGAAGUAGAAUGGUGGCCGAUUGUCUUUGGGAGAAAGUGGGAUCAGGACGACUCCAGGAUUCUGCCUGAGAUGGGACACGCUAGAGUAUUACUUGGGAAUGUAAAAAAAAAUAUCAAAUUACUGAAUGAGUUCCAUGUGCUACUGUCUUCAUACUUGAGUUCUAAUUCUGUUAAGGUUGUAUCAUUGUCUUCUUUUUAAAAAGUGUGGAAACGGAGGCUCACAGAGAUGGUACUGUUUUCUCCAAGUCGCAAUGAUGGUAAAUACAGAUGACAGCUGGAUAUCAACUGGCUCUGGGAAGCUUCCAAAUACAGUGACUCAACGCUGCUCCACACAGCCUUCUUACAAGGAAAAAUGAGAACGGAGGCCACGGGCCGGCUUCUGUGAAUUGUGUGUUGUUGGAAUUCCUGUCCUUCCUUGACCCAGAUUUGUAAACAGAGGCUUUGGAAGCCAAAGUACACACGGGCAGAUGCAAAGGAGCCGUCUGAUGAGGAGAAAGUCGAAUGUGCUUGGGGUGGGUGCUCGCCUGCCUGAAGCACGUGUCCCCGAGGCCUCCUGCUGUCUCCGCAGCUGGCUGUCUUGGGCCUGGUGGUCUGCAGAUGGCCACGAAGUGUCUCUGGGCUGUCCAGCUGCAGCCUGAGCGGGCUGGCGGUUUUGGAGGGGCUGAUGCUGCGGGCGCUGGGCAGCCGCUGAUAGAGCUUCCUUUUGCUACUUUUAGGCUUGUUGCUGAGCCUUUUUAAAGGGAAGGGGGGAACAUAAGCAAAGAUAUUUGCUGUAUCUUGGAACUGGAAUGCCCCACUACAAAACCAGCUAUCAUUUACUCACUCAUCCAAGAAAUGCAGGUUGAGCCCCUGUGGAACAGCAGGCCCCAUCAAGAUGCAGCAGGGAUGAACACGAGUACCUGUCUUCAGGGAACUUGCAGUUUAUUGGAUGGAGACAGGCAACCUAUAAAGAUUUGAUUAAAUGUCUAAUAUGUGCUAUAGGAAGAGAAGAAGCAAAGUAAAGGAGUCAAGAAUGAAAAGACCAGGGGACACUUCUCUGACGAAGUCACAUUUGAGCACAGACCCAAACAAAGCAAAGCAGUGGGCCCAGCAGAUCUCCGAGGCUGGGAUGGUCUCUGGCAAAGGGAACAGCAAAUUCAAAAGCCCUGAGCAAGGCAGGCCUCCAGGGAUGUAUGCCUUCUUCAGAUGGGUAAAGAGCACCGUGCUUGGGGAGGGUCUGGAAGCUGCGGCCUGGGAACAAGUGGGAGAACUGAGGUGUUUAGGGUAGAAAAGGGAAGACAUGCAAAUAGCAGGCAGCUUCCCUCACAUCAAGGGUUCAAAGUCUUAUCCGAAGGAUAAAACUUUCUAUUAACGUAAUGGCGGAAGUUGGAACCAAAGACCAGACCAGCGGAUGGAAGUUGCUGGAGGCUGUUUUCAAAGGUUUGUUGAGUAAUGCCCAAAGCAUCAGCUCUAAAAAUAAGGGACGUCAUAUUAGUAUGCUAAGGCCGACAUAAUAAAAUAUCAUAGACUGGAGGGCUUACACAACAGAAAUGUAUUUUCGCACAGUUCUGGAAGCUGGAAGUGUUAGACAAAGGUGUUGGAAGGGUUGGUUUCUUCUGAGGCCUCUUUCCUUGGCUUACAGGUGACCAUCUUCUCUGUAUGCCUUCACAUGGUCCUUUGUCUCUGCAUAUCCAUAUCCUAAUCUCCUCUUUUUAUAAGGACACCAGUCAUAUUGGAUAGAGCCCGCUCGCCUGACCUCAUUUUUAUGUAGUUACCGCUUUAAAGGCCUUAUCUCCAAAUACAGUCAUAUUCUAAAGUAGCGGGGGUUAGGGCUUCAACAUCUUAAUUGUAAAAAGGGGACACAAUUUAGCUCAUAAUAACCUUUCCUUCACAAUUUAAAUUUACUGAAGAAGCUGAAUUGUUUGUUCUGAAAUGAGUGAUUCAUUCUAUCUGGAUUUCUUAGAUUGCCUGUCUGUGGUUCACUGUUUUUCUGGUAAAUGGUACUUAGAUCCUUGAUUGAACUUAAGUUUGAUUUUCAGGCAAGACUACAUCAGGUGGUGGUGUAUACUUCCAUCAAGAGGCAAAUGAUAUCUUCUUGUCUCUCUGUAAGGUACAAAACAAUCUUCAACCACACAAGUGAGGAUUCUGAAGUACCUAGAAUAUCUGGAUGACUGCGGCUUGAGUGGAUGUCCUUGAGACACCUGAAGACCCUGAUGUGCCUUGAAACCAUGAUUCAAUUAGAUCCAUUACUUAAUAACAGCUAUUUUAGAAGGUACUUAUUUUGUAGAUGUCAUUACAUUAGUGUAUGGUACUGGAGUCCGGAAUAGAAGAGGGACAGACAUAAACAGGCAUCUGGGUGGGAGGGAAAUGUUCCGAGAGCUGGGUUUGGAUCCUAGCCCUGACCAGGAUACUAGAAUGUGAUUCUAGCCAAGUGGCCUAAAACUUUGAGUCCACGUUCCUUAUUGGUGAAAUGCAUAUUACAUUUUUCUCUUCAAAAUUUGCUUCAGGUGUCACCUCCCCCAGGUGACCUCCCCUACCCUUCUCCCAGCCUUGUCUGACAGCUCAUCAUCCCCGGGGCAUCCCUCUCACCGAAUGCUCACCUCCAGCAUACACAUAGCUUACCUUUUGCUAUUUACCUAUGUGUCUGCUCCUCAGACUAGGAUUCCUUCAGGUUCAGGACUGUGUCCUCAAAGCUGUUUUCAGGACAGUUGCUUGUUCGUGGUGCUCAACCAAUACUUCAGUGACUAAAAGGAUUGCUCCUGAGUAGUGUUCUAAAUCCCAGCUGCAAACUAGAAAUCCCAAGAAGCUUUUUAACAAUUACUGAUAUACCUCAGGGCUCAACGCGAGAGCUCUCCAGGUGAUUCUAACAUACAGCCAGCGUUGAGAACCAUUGUUCUAGGGGAGUAGUUCUUAAAGUGUGGUCCUCAGACCAGCGCAUGGGCAUCUACAUGGGAAUUUAUUAGAAGUGCAAUUCUUGAGUCUCACUCCAGACCUACUGAAUCAGAAUCCUGGGUCUAGGGCUCAGCUCCACCUUUGUAAUAAGUCCUCCAGGUGAUUCUGAUGCAAGGUAAUGUUUGAGAAACCCUUUUCUAGGGGAGUAACCAGCAGUUCUUUUUUUUUUUUUUUCUUUUUUUUUUCUGUAAAGGGCCAGACAGUAAAUAUUUAUGCUUUGUAAAUCACGCAGUCUUUGUGACAACCUCUUAAGUCUGCUGUUACAACAAGAAAGCAGUCAUAGAUGAUAUAUCUUUGACUGCCAGAAAGAUGUAUAAGCAUCUUGAGCUCUACUGAACUCAGAGUGACAUACUACAUGUCGCAGACACUUCAUUCAAUGAAAAAGGAUCCAUGAUGCAUUGGCCUCCCUUUGAUCUUGUCCCUGUGACUGGCUGCAAGGGUAGGUGAGGUCUUCUGCUGUCAUUUUUUUGUGUGUGUGUCCUAGUUUCCAUUGUUUUUAAGGAACCCUAGAGCCAGAAAGACUGUUGAGGUGCCCUCUAGCUAAACCAUUGGCUUUCGAGCCAGCUCCUGUCUAUUUUCACAGGAUGACAUUUCUCACCUUGAAUUGUUCACAUGUUCCAGUUUUUCCCCUCCUUUUUUAGAAGAAUGGCUCAGCCAAUGAAAUUCUGGCACCUUCUCUUUCAACACCUGAACAAGUUAUCAGGAGAUAAAGACUCUCAUGUAAACUUUGCUGUCAAUAGUCUUUGUGUAAGCCGGUUCAUCUCUUUGUCCUUCAGUCUUCUCACCUAUAAACUAGGCUAGGUACCAGCAGAGGGUCAUUUUGAGGGGGAAAUUUUAAAAAAUUGUCAUGGUAGACUGGAAGUAAUAAGCAGAUGGCACCCUGAAUAUUUUUCACAGAGCAAUGAUAAUAAAUGGUAACAACAUUAGGAAAGAGUGGGUGACUUUUGGGUUUGGAUAUUAGCCAUAGAGAAUUGUGCGUUGAGUGGCAGUGAUGGGCUGGGGGCUGGACAAAAGCUACGGUUUUUCUUAAUCAGGUAGUGACCUCUUCUGGGGAAAGAAAUAGUCUAGCAGGGCCUCAGCAUUAGGAGACACGUACAACGUUUGUACCAAGGCAACCAAUGAUAGAGAGGAUGGUCCCCAGAGGGAAAACCUCUCUGGUUAGUUGUUUGCCCUGGGCAGCCAGGUGGAAAACAAAAAUAAAUGAACUGAAACUAAAAAUCACUUUCCGGGUAGCCUUACCCAAAAGAGCCUUACCCUCAUUGAAACAGAGCUUAUGAAACCUUGUGGGCCUGUAUAUGCAUUGUCGUGAAGCUACUGUCCGUGCAAGCUGGCCAGAUCCAAGAACCCAAGCAACCAGGAGUAAAACCCAAAGAGUUGCUGGCUGUUGGCUGGAAAUCAAACAAAGAAUUAAUUGGAGCUAAGGCUGUGGAGAGUGCCAGUCUGUGACAUUCACGGAAGAAAGCAAGAAAAGUCUGGAGUGGCCUGGACUGCAUAGCAGAAAGAAAAAUCCCUGCAGGGACUGUGUGAAAAAGACUAGAGAGGAUCACAGAAGGAGGUGGCAGCCGUCAUCAGCAAACUAACGCAAGAAGAGAAAAUCAAAUACGGCGUGUUCUCACUUGUAAGUGGGACCUAAGUGAUGAGAACACAUGGACGCAAAUGGGAACAACAGCCAGUGGGGCCACUUGAGGGUGGAAGGUGGGAGGAGGGAGAGGAUUAGAAGAAACAACUAUUGAGUACUAUGCUUGGUACCUGGAUGAUGAAAUAAUCUGUACAACAAACCCCGUGACAAGAGUUUGCCUAUAUAACAAACUUGCACAUGUUCCCUUGAACCUAAAGUAAAAGUUGAAAAAAAUAAAUAAAAAUAAAAGAUUCUGAUGCCUCAGACUAACUUACACUCAGUAAACACAUUCUGAUGUAUUUGUGGGCCAAAGGUCCUAACGGAGUUGGUGAUGAUUAUGAUGAUGAUGAUCAUCAUCAUCGUAUUGAUAAUGGUAAUGGUAAUAAAAAACAGCUUUCAUAUGGAGUCAGGUUUACUGAGAGUACAUGAGAUACAAUGCUCUUUCAGAGGGACAAAGCAAGAUUCGGAGGAUGGUGAGGGAGAGGUCUAGAGGAGCAAGCUACUUUUGCCCAAUGGUCAUGCAGCAGCUUAAAAACCAUACUACCAUUCACCAUUCUGAAUGGUAAUUGUCUGGCCCUCGUGGACUAACAGGUCUUGGAGGGCAGGGAGCAUGUCUCAUUCAUUGUUAUAUCUCUAGUACCUGGUGUAUAAAAAGUCUCAGAAAACAAACAUUGAUUGACUGAAGGAAUAAAUAAACAUACGAAUAGCUGUUUAAUGUAGCCGAUUAAAAGGAAUUAGGUAAAAUGUUUUCCAUUACUUGUUUUCUGAUUUGUGAAGAGUCAUUAUUUCUUCUGACAGUAAAAAAAAAAUUAAAAAGCAAGAGGUAGAUAUCUUUUUAAAGUUUUGUCCUUCCAUACUCAUACAUUGACCAAUACAAAUUAAACUACUGAAGGAGACAGAGCCAGUGUUUCCUGGCCAAAUACUCUGCAAUUAAUUAUUUCUAUCAUCUAGAAUAUGAUUUGAUUGGGUAUUGAUACAAGAGGGCAGAGCCUAUGGUAUAUUCUCCGUUACAUUCUGAACAGCUAAGAACUGUGCCUGCCACCCCACCCAGUAAGCACUCAAUAUUUUUAAAAUAAAUAAAGAAAUGACUGCUAAAUGUUCUUUCAUUUUUGUUUUAAGCCCAUUUAUAAGGAAGUUUAAAUCCAAAGCACUUUUUCCACCUACCCCUGGACCUUAACAUUGAGCCUAGUGUCACAGGCAAGAACCCAACAGAACUAAAAGGUUUUUGUUUGUACAACGCUAUUUGCCAGGAUUACUAAGCAAACAGGAGAAAUGGAACAAAAUGAUAAAAACAAUUUGUGGUGCUUUCCUGUGGGAUUUUUGGAGGUUUUUCAAAGCAUGACUAGUGACUAAUGUAAUUGACUUUUGGAGGAGAAGGGGAAGAAAAAUGGGCACCCAAUUAUGGACUUUGUCUCCUGUGAGGUUUGUGGUUCUGUCCAGUCUUUGCAAAACAUCACUUUUUUAGAGUGGCCUGUAGCUGGGUACAUAGGCCAAUGGCAUUCACUGGAAAUACAGGGAGCCUGGACUUUCGCAGAAAUGAGGGUUCAUUAUGUGACAGAAUUCAGGUGGCAGCAGAGUCAAGGGACAGGGAGCAGUGGCUGAACUCAGGUGAUCAGUGGUGGCACCUUGAUUGCCUGGAUUAGUAAUAGACACAAACAUUUGGGUAGCUGCUAGGUUUCUUACAACUAGAAGGACAUAGCUCACAAAACAGGCUAACAGCUCAUUCAGUUCGAGGUGAACAUUAUUGUUCCCAUGUAGCAGCUGAGGAAACUGAGGCCUGGAAAUUGCAUUGAACUUGCUUGAGGUUACCCCACUAGGUUAAUCAGGUCCAGAUUUUGCAUUUUCACUGUUGUGUCAUGAGCUCUUUCAUUACAGAAAAAAACUAAAUAGCCUCAACUUUGGCCACUAGCCCAGAGAUUGGGAAUGAUUCAUAGUUAUUCUCUAAUUACUGGUUUACUCUGAAGCUUGCCUGCAUCUCUGGGAAGCUCCUGGUAUAGAGAUACAUUCAAUAAUUACAAUAGUUUUUUUUUUUUUUUUUUUUUCCUGGGGGUUGUACAGUGAAGCCUAGCGAGAAAAUGCAGGAUAGUUGAUCGCAGGGGCUUUAAAACCCCUGGAAUUUUAACAACUCAUAAAUAUUAAGCAUUUGCUAAGGGCGAGGUAGAACUCUGAAGGCUCUAUGUGAAGGAACUCCCCCAGUAGUUGCAAUAACUUUGUGAGAUAUGCAUUGUUAUCAUCUCCACUUAAUGGUGAUUGAGACUGAGGCUCAGAGAAAUUGACCUGCCCAAGGUUACUCAGCUAGAAAGUGGAAGAGCUGAGCAGCAACUUCAGGUAGUUUGACCAAUUCUUUUUGGCUGUGAAGGUGCCUGCUUAAUAACAAAAAAACUAUACUAGUGGUUCUUAAAAUGGUGCUAGGACCAGCAGCAUUGGCAUCAAUGGGUAAACUGGUAGAGAUGCAAAUUCUUGGCCUCACUCCAGACCUACUGAAUCAGAAACUCUAGCAGUAGAGGCCAGAAAUCUGAGUUUUAACAGCUUUUCAGUGGAUGUUGAUGCCCACUCAAGUUUGAGAACUGGACAUACUAAAUCACUGUGCUUUCUCAGAAGAAAGGACUUGUACAGAGUACUGACUGCACCAGACGAGCUUAGAGACUUGGGAAGAUGUUCUUCCAAAAGAUGCUAUUACUUUGGGCUUUUGGACUAUACAUGAGAGAGUAGAGUGGAAGUAGAAUCUGUUAAGAAAGAGUAUGUGAUGAGAGAAGGUAGUAGAAAGAGGUGACGUCACAACCACCUUCUGAGAAUGUGAUGUGUUUGUAGAACAAGUGUUGAUUAUCCACUAAGACUCACUGAGAUCAAGUGACUCGGCCAAGGUCAGGUAAUCAGUGACAAAUGAAUGCACUCAAACGCAGUCCCCUGACUCCUUAGAGAGUAUGUGAAAGCUACAUUUCCUCACUAGAGUAGGGUGAGGCAUUAGCGGUUCAGUGAACCUCUGAAUCAUGAGAACCUCUCCUCAUGAUUUAGUAACUGUCACAACUUCUCCCGACUAGAUGAGCUAGAAUUGAAAGAAGAAUGGAAAAGAUAGGAAUUUGGUGGUCCCAGGAAGGAGGGAAGACUAAGGGGAGAAUUCAGAGAGAGGUGCUAAGGAGACAAGGAUGUCUUUAAGUUACCGCUCUGGAACCCAUGGCUGUCUCCUUACCUUGAUCAGCAUUGUCAUCAUUUAUUGGGUUGCACAUGCUCUAGCAUGUUACCAACCAGAAAAUACAACACAGGCGACCUUGACUUUAAUUCACAACUUUGCUAGUGAUCUCAAGCAGAUUAUUUCCUCAUGUACAAAAUGAAGAUCAUUAGAGUUCCAACCUCAUGGGAAUUGAGGGAGUUUUAAAAGAAAGAACGUAAGUAAAACCCCUAGUAGGUUGUCUUGCUCUUAAUAAGUGCUGAAUACACAGGCGCUGUGUUGUUGUUAUUAUCUUAUCCAAAGGCUGGUUCACAGGGCAAGGCAGCCAUGGACAUAAAAGGAUGCCUCAGUGAGUGAGGAUGAUGAUUUAGCUGUUUGUGGACACAUAAAUCUCCCACUACUUGUCCAUUGCCAUUUUAAUCUCUACUCCCUUAUCCAUCACCUCUGCCUUCUCAGAUCCUCACUCAGAGAGAGUGGUCUUAAGAAAGGACCCCUUCAAUCUCUUGUUCCUAGAGAGGUCAUGGGUGCAUCUCAUUUAUUUCACUGUAUCACCCAACUCUGCAUGCAGCAUCCAGGGCAUCAGGGCACCUGGACACCAGCUGCCAGGAGAUGACAGGUAGACAGAGAGGAAUGCUUUCAAAAAAUGUCAUCUGGACAUUCCUUCCAAUUGAUUGCUUAGCAGAUUCACGGCAAAACAAAGUUUUCUGGACCCUGUUACCUCCUUUGUUUACUUAAAUGACACUAAUAUUUAUUGAUCAAUUGCAAUAGAACAAGUGUUAUAUGAUACUUUAAAAAUGUUUUUUCAUUCAAAUGUUGUGAUGAUAUUUGUAAAGUGAGUAUAAUUAUUUCCACUUUAUAAAUGAGGUAAAUAGUAAUGGAUAUUGGAAUCAGGAUUUAAAUCACAUUUCUGGCUCCAAUUAAGUCUUUUAUCAGUUAAUGUCUUAAAUGGCUGCUUCCUCCUAAAAAAUGAAUAUCUUGAUAAGGAGGCCCCUUGGCAAGGUACAUGGAGGAAAGUUUUGUAGGGAAGGAGCCUGAUUCCCCUGAAUUAAAGACAUCUUUCUGCUCACACUGGUAUAUAAUUUGGAUCCUCUCCAUUCUCUGGCCAUAUCUUCGUGAUUAUGCCUUUUUACUUAGCCUUGUAAAUGGACAAUAACUCUACUCAGAGUCAAAUUAAGGGGUGAGCUAGACAGGAAGUUGCCAGGGGAUUGAUUCUAUAAUAGGCUCUAAUACAUCACUGGAAAUUUAAUGACAUGGAACAGUUUAUUUAUUAAUAUUCCAUGCACAGAGAAUUCUGCUUGGAAGAAAUGUUUGAUAAGACACUGAAGGUGGAAAGAGGUACAGGACAGUUAUUUUCUAGGGAUGGUGGAUCAGGCCAGGGCCAGGAUGGUAUGCAAAUCUGGGCCAGAGCAGAAUCGUUUGAGAGGACAAAGGGGAGGCUGAGGUUGCUACCAACAAGCUACUUUCUCUGAUUUUCCCACACAUCACAGAUGGCCAAACAGUUAAAAACAUAUUUUCUUGAAGGCGCACUGAAUCAUUCCCCUGUCCAGGGUGCUCCCACCCCUGAGUGAAGUCCUGAUGCUGCUCAGAAUGCUGCAUAGGCCCUCAUGCUCUCAUAUUCAUUUCUCUUUUUCCUUCUCUUUCUCAUUCUCUGGGUGUUGCUGUGCAGUGUUCCAUUCUGAUCUCCAGCUCUAGGUCAUUUUCUAUCACAGAACAACACCUGCAGCUUGGACAAGAACAACAGAAUGUGUGAUGGGCAAUGGUGAGACCUGAGAGACAGAGACAGAGAAGGCUGGGUUCCAGGACAUUUCUAGCAUCAAGAAGAGGAGGUCGAAAUUUAGAAUCUCUUGCUCUGCCUCUUCCUACAUGUCUUGACCAAGAUUCUUGAGCUCAUCCAUGAAACAAUAUGAAAAGCAAACAUUGUUUGAACACUUAACUAUUAUAGGCACUAUUCUCAGUACUUUAUGUGUUUAUGAAAAUAAUUCUCCUAAUAACCCCAAAAUAUAUUUACUUUUAUAAUCCCCAUUUUAAACAUGAGAAAAUGGAGGCACAGAGAGGUUGAGUAACUUGUUCAAGUUCACACAUCCAGCAAACAGAGUUCAAAUGCAAGUAUUUUGGUGCCAGAAGUUUCAUUCUCAACUACUUUGUGAUACUGCCUCUCUGAAGGGGACAAAAAGCAUUGGUGAAAGUGAAAUAAGUCAGGUAUCUAAAAUCUUUUUAGACAUUGAAAUUGUUUGAGUGUGAGUACUAUUAUUAGCCCUCCCCACCUCCUAUAUCUCUGCUAUUGGCAGAAAUAAAAAUAUGCAUCCAGAGAUGCCUAGAAGGGAACAGAACUCACCCAGGUGGCGCAUGCAGAUGGAGAAGGGGCUGCCCCUUUUGCCAAAGAGUGAAGAGAGAUUCGAGUGCUGUUCACCAUUGUGCUCUUGGUAUUUAGCCCAUGCCCAACAUGCAGUAGGGCAUCAGGUAAUAGUCACUAAAUAAGUCUGAGUUUGGAUCCUUGCUCUUUCUUGGUGAGUUAAUGAAGUUUUCUAAGCUCCAUGUUCCUUUCAUUUCAGAAUUACGAGGUUGGGUAACGACUUCAGUGGUCCUGAGACCUAAAUCUAGAUAAACGUAGAUUUUGAAUAACGGAUGAUAAUUGCUGAUAUUGUUAUUCUAGGCCAGUGGCCAACAAUCUUUUCCUGUAAAUGACCAGGUAAAAAAUAUUUUAGACUUUGUGGAGUAGACUGUCCCUGUCACAGAAACUCAAUGCUGCCAUUGUAGUGUGAACAGCCAUAGACAAUUCAUAAACAAGUAGGCAUGGCUGUGCUCCAAUAAAACUUUAUUUACAAAAAGAGGUGGUAGACGGGAUGUGGCCCUUGGUUUGUAGUUUGCUGACCUCUGUAUUCUAUGGUCUAAGCAGUGAGAAUCUGAAAGGUGCUAAGCCACAUUAACAGACUGAAAAUGUUCUUAAACUUUCUAGACAAAGCUCAUCUCUUCAUUCCUUUCCAGUGUUAAGGAUGAGCAAUACUUUCCUGGCAGGGGAAUCUGUGUUCUCCAAGUGUAUGCUUGUUUGUAAUAUUUCUUUAACAGGUGUGAGUGGUGAGAACCCUUCCUCCACAUAUUUUCCUUCUAACUUCUUGUUUCCUGGUAACUGUGCACCUUCUCCACAUACCUCUAGAGCUAGCCAGUGGUGAGAACACAAAGAAUUUGGGAGGUCGGACCUUUGCUUGACUCCCAAAUAGAACCUUAGUAAUAUGGUAUAUUUAUCUAGAAUAAGUGGUGUCCUGAAAAAUAUAUUAAAAAGAUGGUGAUUUAAAAAAAAAUGUGGUAGUGCCUUGGAAAAAGAACAACGUGAAAUAUUAUAUUUUAUAUGUUAAAGAGAAUGAGCCAAAUGUGCUUUGGGGUAUACAGAGAGAGAGAACAUCAGUAGUUUUUCAGUGUUUACUGUUUCUCAAUUAUCUAAGAGGGGCCUGAGACACCACAAGUUGAUGGUUCAUCCAGAACCACAGGGGAUGGGUAACUGUGGCUCCCCAUGGGAACAUCAGGGGGCUCUUAAAACAAGAAGGGGGAAGAAUGAGACUUAAACACUGCAUUUGGUUCUGGUAAAUAUGAGGUGGCUCUCCAACCUUACUCUUUUGAGCAUCUGUUUUCUCUCCUAUGCUGAUGAAAAUAAUGUGAAAAGCACUUUGCUCAUUGCCUGGCACAAGCUAGAUCUAGAAUAAGUGGAAACUGUAAGUUUUCAUUUGGUUUGUUGAUAUUAUUAAUGAAAUCUGACACUUCUUAAAUCUUAACAAACAUUAGGCCUAUCUGAGCUGAUCACAUACUUACUGGACUCCGAUGCAUGUCACCUUUCGAUGUCAUUGGCAACCCACAUCCUGUCCAUCCUUCUGUUUGUUCUUCCAUUCUUCAAGGUUCAGCAAUGUUUCUCCUCAUGGCUGCAUUAUGGCUGCAUCACCCCCAUGCAUUCUGUAUUCUCAGAACAUCAUCUCCUACAAGAAGAAAGGGGAAGAGGUGGCAAAAGGGCCUCUUCUCCUAUGCUUGUCUUUCUAUUUGGGAGGAGAGUAUUUCCAAGAAGACCCCUUUCAGACUUUCCCUUACAUGCCAUUGACCAGAAGUGUGUCACAUAUCCAGCUGUAAACAAAUGGCUGGCAAAGUGAGUAGGUAACUACGGUUGGCUGAGAAGACUCAGGAUUCAGCCAUGGGACCAAAACAAGGAAGGAGGGCGAGUAGCCAGUGUAGCACAGGGCCUGAUGAAAAGGGUACUUCCUUUCUCAAUCCCUCCCUUUUCCUUGAGAAACACGUAUGUUGUUUUCAGCAGUUCCUAACAGAGUGCCUGGCCGAAAAUGGCACUCCAUAUAUAUUUUUGGUGGAUAAAUAAUGACUAAAUAAGUAAUGAAUAGAAUUUUCUUCUUUUUGUCUUUUUUUUUUUUUCACCUAGACCUCUGGUUUCCGCUUUUCUGAGUCUGGGUUAGGCAGCCAUGGUAUUCUUCCAGUCUGAAGAUGACUUUCUAAAUUUGCUAACAUGGGAAGGAUUGAAUACGGCCUGUCACACUGUCCACAUUCAUCCUUUGAUAUAAGUUGGCCAGUGUGGUCAAAGACAGGCCAGCGUGGGUGAGGCUGAUGGCAUACUCAAGGGCUGCAUGCACAGACGUGACCAAGCCCUUUGUAAGCAAGAUUGGAAGUCGAGAUACGCCUGUUCCCUUUAAUCAUCUCUUUGGGCAGUUUCCUAUCACUUUUCAAGCUCCCCCAUUAGAAUGUCAGCAAAAUAACAGGGAUCUGCAGAAAAAAAAUAUUAAGAGAAAUGAUUUGAAAUGCACUAAGCACUUUGGAAGCAUUAGUUGUCAAACCUUUAACGAGAUAAUUAUAAAUGCCCUUUACUUAGUGCAUAGCUCAAAUGAUCUACAACACAUUUUUAGGUAUCACUUUGUUGAUCUAGUUUGAAUGAAGCACUGGAAAACAUUUCUUUACAUAAGUGGUUAUUCUGGAUUAUUUGUGGCUUCAGUCCUGUUUACCCCCAUUGCGAGGCCAAAAUGAGAAUUUUUGUGCUCAUAUCUGGAAUGCUCAGGGGAAUAAGAUAGAAUGGCAGAGUGGUUGUCUAAUCUGACUUGAAUCUGUUCGCUAUCACUUAUUAGUGUGACACAUUGGGCAAAUGGCUUAAUGUCUCCAACCUCAGUGUCCUCAUCUGCAAAACUGGGCAAUACUCGAGGGUGGUUCUGGCAUGGUGCAUGGCACAUUGUAAGGGUGAAAUAAAUGCUAUCUUGAAUUGCUUUUGACAUGUUAUAUUCUUCAGUUUAUCACUGAAACAUACUUUUUAUAAAGACAACUGUAGUUGUCACCUUUGAAAUAUAGAUUAUGCCAUGUGGCUAUCCCAAUGUCAGCCCAUCCAACAACAGUUCACCAAUGUUGUAAGGAGGUUUCUAAAGCCUUGGAAUGGCCCUGGGCACUUGGAUUAUAUUAAGCAACUGAUGAGGCCUCAUGCCACAGAAAACUUUGACCCAACAAUUAAGGUGGUUUAAAAACACUCAAGAAAUAGGUCUUUCUUUGCUAUGCAAAAAUUAGUUUCUUUAAUUUAAAUGGACUGAUUAUGUUACUCAAAAUUGUCACUUC